rnacentral:RNase_P_RNA from 1 species
UUAUCGCUAUGCCGUAAGGCAGAGAGGAAAGUCCGGACAGCACAGAGCAAUGCACCGGUUAAGCGCCGGGUCUGCAGUUAGCUGUACAUGCAGCUCCUGCGGAACAGACAGUGCCACAGAAAAUAACUGCCCUGCACAGGUUCCCUGUGCAAGGUCAAGGUGAAAACGUGGGGUAAGAGCCCACGGCGUUGCAGGGCAACCUGCAGCGGGGGUAAACCUUGCAUGCUGAAAUGCCAUGUAUACCAGUCCAUGAAGUU